CAAGAAGAUUAAUUGAAGACCGAUUAUUGCAAGGCAAGUCCCACAGAUCCUAAACACAAUCCUUUGAGCAUGUUGAUCCUAUAUUUAAAUUCUCUAUUUAUUUCAACUGUGCAUUUAUUUUCGAAUGUCACUGGGUGGUGUGAAUCUAUUCCUUUGUUAUGGCCUGUUUGCAUUGAUUACUUUAUUCCUUGAUACCUUGGGUUAUUAUAACUUGACUAGUUGAGCUAUAUAUAUUGGUUCAGCUAGAUAUUAGAUAUGAUUGCUUAGCCAUGCUUAGAAACAUUAGCACACUAUUGGGAUUACUUAUGACUCAUUAUUAUUUAAUGAUGGCUUAAUGAUAGUUCACGAUGGUCAAUCGUGAUUGGUUAAUUAAUUACUUGCCAACUAAAACUUGAUAAUGGUGGGUUGUGAGCACAUGGUUUUGAGAGUCGUGCUCAUGACAAUUAAGGACCGGUUCGCGAGCUACUAUUGUGAAACAUUAAUCGUGCCAACCACAAGCCAGCGUGGGCAACGGCUUUACCUUUUGUAUAGCAUGGUUCAUUGCGGAGCACCAGACUGAGAAGUGGUGGAGAUAAGCCCACGGGGGUCGCUGGGGAGUCCAUGCCUUGUUUAUAAGGGGGUGACUAUGAUCCGGGAACGGUGCACUGUGGUGGGUUGUGUUAUGCAAGGGGUAAUGUCACAGCUCCUUUCCGAGGUACCGUGGUGGUACCGAGGCACAUGGUGACAUGUUGUGGGGCUGUGUCUUGUGGGUACAGUGGUACACCUCUGGCCAGAGUAAAACUAUUCGAAUAGCCGUGCCCGCGGUUAUGGGCAGGUUGAGCAAUGUUUUUCGUGAUUAGUCCCACACCUCUCACAAUAAUUAUGGAUGUUAUAUCUGGUAAUAAUUUGCUUAGCUCCUGGUUUGGAGUUAGAUCUGUACAGCCGGGUAUGGUUGUUCAGGAUGGUUGGGCCUGUGCAGCAUGGGUGUGUUGUUCAGUGUUGAUUAAAAUUUCUGAUUAAUUACUCCACUGUUUUACUUCUCUUAAAUGUUUUGCUAAAAGCUGCUUUUGCAAAUGAGCCUAUAUUAUGCCAUCCUUUGGUAUCCUUGUGCACUUGCAUAUUUGCUGUGUGGCUUGCUGAGUAUGUCAUAUGCUCACCUUGCAAUAAUCAAUCAACCUCAGUUAAAGAAAAAGGAUCCAGAAGGAGAAGACAUUUGGCUUAUACCCCAGUUGAGCUGCCUGUGGGAGUGGAGCCGGAGCUUCGCUAGAUUUUAUUUUCCGCUGCAGUUUUCUUCUUGGUGAGGACUUAGUGCCUCUUAAGUAAGUAUUUAUUGUUUUAGUUAAUUUGAUGAAUCUGUAUAUUAAAUUGUCAGUUUGUGUACCUCGGCUGAUUCCUGGAC
rnacentral:lncRNA from 1 species